rnacentral:rRNA from 1 species
UACGUAGGGUGCAAGCGUUAAUCGGAAUUACUGGGCGUAAAGCGUGCGCAGGCGGUUGUGCAAGACCGAUGUGAAAUCCCCGGGCUUAACCUGGGAACUGCAUUUGUGACUGCAUAGCUGGAGUGCGGCAGAGGGGGAUGGAAUUCCGCGUGUAGCAGUGAAAUGCGUAGAUAUGCGGAGGAACACCGAUGGCGAAGGCAAUCCCCUGGGCCUGCACUGACGCUCGAUGCACGAAAGCGUGGGGAGCAAACAGG